GAGUUUGAUCCUGGCUCAGAACGAACGCUGGCGGCGCGCCUAAUACAUGCAAGUCGAACGAGAAUGUGUAGCAAUACACAUGUACAGUGGCGAACGGGUGAGGAAUACAUGGGUAACCUACCCUCGAGUGGGGAAUAACCAGCCGAAAGGUUGGCUAAUACCGCGUACGCUUCCGAGACUGCGGUUUUGGAAGGAAAGCGAUACCGUGGGUAUCGCGCUCUUGGAUGGGCUCAUGCCCUAUCAGCUUGUUGGUGAGGUAACGGCUCACCAAGGCAUCGACGGGUAGCUGAUCUGAGAGGAUGAUCAGCCACACUGGCACUGCGACACGGGCCAGACUCCUACGGGAGGCAGCAGUAAGGAAUAUUGCGCAAUGGGCGAAAGCCUGACGCAGCGACGCCGCGUGGGGGAUGAAGGUCUUCGGAUUGUAAACCCCUUUCGGGAGGGAAGAUGGGAUGGGGUAACCCAUUCGGACGGUACCUCCAGAAGCAGCCACGGCUAACUUCGUGCCAGCAGCCGCGGUAAUACGAAGGUGGCAAGCGUUGUUCGGAUUUACUGGGCGUACAGGGAGCGUAGGCGGUUGGAUAAGCCCUCCGUGAAAUCUCCAGGCUUAACCUGGAAAGUGCAGAGGGGACUGUUCAGCUAGAGGAUGGGAGAGGAGCGCGGAAUUCCCGGUGUAGCGGUGAAAUGCGUAGAGAUCGGGAGGAAGGCCGGUGGCGAAGGCGGCGCUCUGGAACAUUUCUGACGCU
rnacentral:rRNA from 1 species